rnacentral:rRNA from 1 species
UACGUAGGGUGCAAGCGUUGUCCGGAAUUAUUGGGCGUAAAGAGCUCGUAGGCGGCUUGUCGCGUCGUCCGUGAAAACCCACAGCUACACUGGUGGCUUGCGGUCGAUACGGGCAGGCUGGAGUUCGGUAGGGGAGACUGGGAAUUCCUGGUGUAGCGGUGAAAUGCGUAGAUAUCUGCAGGAACACCCGUGGCGAAGGCGGCUGGCUGGACCGCAACUGACGCUGAGGAACGAAAGCUAGGGGGAGCAAACAGG